rnacentral:rRNA from 1 species
UACGUAGGGCGCAAGCGUUAUCCGGAAUUAUUGGGCGUAAAGAGCUUGUAGGCGGUCUGUCGCGUCUGCUGUGAAAAUCCGGGGCUCAACCCCGGACUUGCAGUGGGUACGGGCAGACUAGAGUGUGGUAGGGGAGACUGGAAUUCCUGGUGUAGCGGUGAAAUGCGCAGAUAUCAGGAGGAACACCGAUGGCGAGGGCAGGUCUCUGGGCCACUACUGACGCUGAGAAGCGAAAGCAUGGGGAGCGAACAGG